AACGAACGCUGGCGGCAGGCUUAACACAUGCAAGUCGAACGCCCCGCAAGGGGAGUGGCAGACGGGUGAGUAACGCGUGGGAAUCUACCCAACCCUACGGAACAACUCCGGGAAACUGGAGCUAAUACCGUAUACGCCCUACGGGGGAAAGAUUUAUCGGGGAUGGAUGAGCCCGCGUUGGAUUAGCUAGUUGGUGGGGUAAAGGCCUACCAAGGCGACGAUCCAUAGCUGGUCUGAGAGGAUGAUCAGCCACAUUGAGACUGAGACACGGCCCAAACUCCUACGGGCGGCAGCAGUGGGUAAUAUUGGACAAUGGGCGCAAGCCUGAUCCAGCCAUGCCGCGUGAGUGAUGAAGGCCUUAGGGUUGUAAAGCUCUUUCACCGAUGAAGAUAAUGACGGUAGUCGGAGAAGAAGCCCCGGCUAACUUCGUGCCAGCCGCCGCGGUAAUAC
rnacentral:rRNA from 1 species